rnacentral:rRNA from 1 species
UGGGGAAUAUUGGGGCAAUGGGCGCAAGCCUGACCCAGCAACGCCGCGUGAAGGAAGAAGGCUCUCGGGUUGUAAACUUCUUUUAAGAGGGACGAAACAAAUGACGGUACCUCUUGAAUAAGCCACGGCUAACUACGUGCCAGCAGCCGCGGUAAUACGUAGGUUGCAAGCGUUGUCCGGAUUUACUGGGUGUAAAGGGCGUGUAGGCGGAGAUGCAAGUUGGGAGUGAAAUCCAUGGGCUCAACCCAUGAACUGCUCUCAAAACUGUAUCCCUUGAGUAUCGGAGAGGCAAGCGGAAUUCCUAGUGUAGCGGUGAAAUGCGUAGAUAUUAGGAGGAACACCAGUGGCGAAGGCGGCUUGCUGGACGACAACUGACGCUGAGGCGCGAAAGCGUGGGGAGC